rnacentral:rRNA from 1 species
UGGGGAAUAUUGGACAAUGGGCGAAAGCCUGAUCCAGCGACGCCGCGUGUGUGAAGAAGGCCUGCGGGUUGUAAAGCACUUUUAGUGGGGAUGAAAAGCCUAGGGUUAAUAACCUUGGGUCUUGACCUAACCCACAGAAAAAGCACCGGCUAACUCUGUGCCAGCAGCCGCGGUAAUACAGAGGGUGCGAGCGUUAAUCGGAAUCACUGGGCGUAAAGCGUGCGUAGACGGUUAUUUAAGUCGGGUGUGA